GUGGGGAAUAUUGCGCAAUGGGGGAAACCCUGACGCAGCGACGCCGUGUGAGGGAAGAAGGCUUUCGGGUCGUAAACCUCUGUCAGGAAGGAAGAACCUCUCAAGGCUGAACAAGCCUUGGGACUGACGGUACUUUCAAAGGAAGCACCGGCUAACUCCGUGCCAGCAGCCGCGGUAAUACGGAGGGUGCAAGCGUUAAUCGGAAUCACUGGGCGUAAAGCGCGCGUAGGCCGCUUUGUAAGUCGGACGUGAAAGCCCUCGGCUCAACCGGGGAACUGCGUUCGAUACGGCGAGGCUUGAGGCCUGGAGAGGGUGGCGGAAUUCCGGGUGUAGGAGUGAAAUCCGUAGAUAUCCGGAGGAACACCGGUGGCGAAGGCGGCCACCUGGACAGGUACUGACGCUGAGGCGCGAAAGCGUGGGGAGCAAACAGGAUUAGAUACCCGAGUAGUCC
rnacentral:rRNA from 1 species